UUUUUUUAGGCCAAUUGUGUCUGAGAGAAAUGAACUUCUUAUUCAGUUUUUAUCAGACUUAAGUUUAACUGCAGAUGGGUUUAUUGGUCACUACAUAUUCAGGCCAAAAAAACUGCCUACAACUACAGAACAGCCUGUCACCACCACAUUCCCUGUAACCACGGGUUUAAAACCCACCGUGGCCUUGUGUCAACAAAAGUGUAGACGGACGGGGACUCUGGAGGGCAAUUAUUGUUCAAGUGACUUUGUAUUAGCCGGCACUGUUAUCACAACCAUCACUCGCGAUGGGAGUUUGCACGCCACAGUCUCGAUCAUCAACAUCUACAAAGAGGGAAAUUUGGCGAUUCAGCAGGCGGGCAAGAACAUGAGUGCCAGGCUGACUGUCGUCUGCAAGCAGUGCCCUCUCCUCAGAAGAGGUCUAAAUUACAUUAUUAUGGGCCAAGUAGGUGAAGAUGGGCGAGGCAAAAUCAUGCCAAACAGCUUUAUCAUGAUGUUCAAGACCAAGAAUCAGAAGCUCCUGGAUGCCUUAAAAAAUAAGCAAUGUUAACAGUGAACUGUGUCCAUUUAAGCUGUAUUCUGCCAUUGCCUUUGAAAGAUCUAUGUUCUCUCAGUAGAAAAAAAAAUACUUAUAAAAUUACAUAUUCUGAAAGAGGAUUCCGAAAGAUGGGACUGGUUGACUCUUCACAUGAUGGAGGUAUGAGGCCUCCGAGAUAGCUGAGGGAAGUUCUUUGCCUGCUGUCAGAGGAGCAGCUAUCUGAUUGGAAACCUGCCGACUUAGUGCGGUGAUAGGAAGCUAAAAGUGUCAAGCGUUGACAGCUUGGAAGCGUUUAUUUAUACAUCUCUGUAAAAGGAUAUUUUAGAAUUGAGUUGUGUGAAGAUGUCAAAAAAAGAUUUUAGAAGUGCAAUAUUUAUAGUGUUAUUUGUUUCACCUUCAAGCCUUUGCCCUGAGGUGUUACAAUCUUGUCUU
rnacentral:lncRNA from 1 species